AGAAAAAAAUAAUUGUAAUUUGUUUUUUCCUGCAGAGUUACCUGUGCUCAUGCUGGUCUUGUCUUUGUCCGGACACCUCCGAAAAAACGCUCCUUAAACCCAUUCUUUAAACCCAAAGAUCAUAACGGUUGAGGAGGGCUGGGGGUGGAGAAGCACGUUGAAAACGGACCAUGACAGAUGGACGCAUUAAAAAAACCUGUUUGCGGGUAACCACAACCACAAGAUCUGCAGUUUGAGAUACGUCAUCACUUCCUUAUCUUCAACAACAGAUGCAGGGGGUUGGAGGGCACGCCCAAGUACCACGUGGAGGCCACGUGGGGACCACGUGGACCGGAAACCGGAAGGCGGGACUAAGGACUGAAAGGACGCUUCUGAUUGGCUGAAAAAUGGACAAAGGGGGCGUGGCCACCUGUCAAAUUAAGUUUGAUGAAAGGUGGUAUAUACUAUCUC